AGUGAACGCUGGCGGUAGGCCUAACACAUGCAAGUCGAACGGCAGCACAGUAAGAGCUUGCUCUUACGGGUGGCGAGUGGCGGACGGGUGAGGAAUACAUCGGAAUCUACUUUUUCGUGGGGGAUAACGUAGGGAAACUUACGCUAAUACCGCAUACGACCUACGGGUGAAAGCAGGGGAUCUUCGGACCUUGCGCGAUUGAAUGAGCCGAUGUCGGAUUAGCUAGUUGGCGGGGUAAAGGCCCACCAAGGCGACGAUCCGUAGCUGGUCUGAGAGGAUGAUCAGCCACACUGGAACUGAGACACGGUCCAGACUCCUACGGGAGGCAGAAGUGGGAAAUAUUGGACAAUGGGCGCAAGCCUGAUCCAGCCAUACCGCGUGGGUGAAGAAGGCCUUCGGGUUGUAAAGCCCUUUUGUUGGGAAAGAAAAGCAGCAGGUUAAUACCCCGCUGUUCGGACGGUACCCAAAGAAUAGCACCGGCUAACUUCGUG
rnacentral:rRNA from 1 species